AACGAACGCUGGCGGCAUGCCUAACACAUGCAGGUCGAACGGGAUCCUGGCUUCGGCCAGGUGAGAGUGGCGGACGGGUGAGUAACGCGUGGGAACCUGCCCAUUGGUCUGGGAUAACUGCGGGAAACUGCAGCUAAUACCGGAUGUACCCGAGAGGGGAAAGAUUUAUCGCCGAUGGAGGGGCCCGCGUCAGAUUAGGUAGUUGGUGAGGUAACGGCUCACCAAGCCUACGAUCUGUAGCUGGUCUGAGAGGAUGAUCAGCCACACUGGGACUGAGAUACGGCCCAGACUCCUACGGGAGGCAGCAGUGGGGAAUAUUGGACAAUGGGGGCAACCCUGAUCCAGCAAUGCCGCGUGAGUGAUGAAGGCCUUAGGGUGUAAAGCUCUCUUACCCAGGGACGAUGAUGACGGUACCUGGAGAAUAAGCCCCGGCUAACUUCGUGCCAGCAGCCGCGGUAAU
rnacentral:rRNA from 1 species